UACGGGGGGGGCAAGCGUUGUUCGGAAUUACUGGGCGUAAAGGGCUCGUAGGCGGCCAACUAAGUCAGACGUGAAAUCCCUCGGCUUAACCGGGGAACUGCAUCUGAUACUGGAUGGCUUGAGAUUGGGAGAGGGAUGCGGAAUUCCAGGUGUAGCGGUGAAAUGCGUAGAUAUCAGGAGGAAUACCGAUGGCGAAGGCAGGUCUCUGGGCUGACACUGACGCUCAUGCACGAAAGCGUGGGGAGCAAACAGG
rnacentral:rRNA from 1 species